rnacentral:rRNA from 1 species
UACGGAGGGUGCAAGCGUUGUUCGGAAUUACUGGGCGUAAAGGGCCCGUAGGCGGCCAACUAAGUCGGAUGUGAAAUCCCCAGGCUUAACCUGGGAACUGCAUCCGAUACUGGAUGGCUUGAAUUCGGGAGAGGGAUGCAGAAUUCCAGGUGUAGCGGUGAAAUGCGUAGAUAUCUGGAGGAAUACCGGUGGCGAAGGCGGCAUCCUGGACCGACAUUGACGCUGAACGGCGAAAGCUAGGGGAGCAAACGGG